rnacentral:rRNA from 1 species
UACGGGGGGAGCAAGCGUUGUUCGGAUUUACUGGGCGUAAAGGGCGCGUAGGCGGCCACCGCAAGUCGACUGUGAAAUCCCCGGGCUUAACCUGGGAAUUGCAUUUGUGACUGCCCGGCUAGAGUGUGUCAGAGGGGGGUAGAAUUCCACGUGUAGCAGUGAAAUGCGUAGAGAUGUGGAGGAAUACCGAUGGCGAAGGCAGCCCCCUGGGAUAACACUGACGCUCAUGCACGAAAGCGUGGGGAGCAAACAGG